AGGUUGAGGUGCAAAGGUUAAGGACUUAGUUAUUUAAAGUAACCUAUUUGUAAACAAGAUUCCGCGCUUAAAAUUUUGACAGGAAGACGUUCAGUUAAAAACUAAAUACAGGCAUUGAUCUUCAUUUGGCAGUUUCCUUUUCUUCACAAAAUGAGCAAAGUUAAAUGUGUAUUCGUCGAUGGGGACAUACCACACCUGCCUUGCGCUAGUUCUCUGAAAUAGGUAGAAGAAGCUUUAUCAGCAAUGGACAACUAAGAGUCAUCAAAGGUAUCAGGAUUAUAAUUUAGCACGCCAGACGCUCGUUUCGUCUACAUAAGACUCAUCAGUGAAUCCCAUACGAAAACAUUCAUAAAGCCAACCAAGCACAAAGUUAAUGAACAUUGAGGAUCCGAAAUUCCAAACAGUUGUGCCAAAUACGGCCAAGGCAACCUAGAAGUUAAGAUUGACAAUUACUUGAGAAUAAAAAAUGAUAUAGAGAUCAAGAUAAAUAAGAGAUGAAAAUAUUAAAUCAUAGUUACAGGUUUUUUUUUUUUAUAAAUAGUAGCCUCACUAAUCAUAAUGAAAAAAACAGUUUAUCACAAACAUUACUACCAAUCGAUCUUGACCCAGUCGUGGCUAUAUAUACCUGUUUUGCUAUCAACGCUACUGAUAUUGGGAUUGUCUAUAUAACACUGUUUCUAAAAAGAAUAUGUUGCUGAUAGAAGUACACCUAACAUCAGAAGAUUACCUUACUACGCUUAAAGAAGUUUCAAGGAAUGAUAAACAGUCAAUAGGAAUAUAGACCAACUGUUUUGAUGUCUGAAAACUACAAGAUCACUUAUUAAACAUCUAUGAUGUGGAUAAAAACAGGGAAAAUACCAUAAUGUAUAAGACAGAACGAUAAUAGUAUGUGACUGAAUUCAGUCAUAGACUUAGAUUUAAAAUUUGUUUGUUUAUAUUGUAUAGAUAUUUCUACUGUACAAACCGAUGUACUUUAUAAUGUCAAUAAAUGAUGGUGCCAG